CCGGACAUGACGUGUGGCUGUCGUAAAAACCCUAUUUGUAAACAACCAGUCCUUUAACUCAGCGCUGCGUCAUAAACACGGAGCGCUUGGAAGACCACGAUGUCAUCUUCCUUCUGUCAGGAGGAUCAAAGUGAAGCUACAGGAGUUUCAUUAACGUCAACAACUUGGACCAAACAGUUUGUUUUGCUUGAUGAAGAGCAGGAAGGGCAGCCUGGAGAGAAAGAGAAGACGGGUUGAGCCCACUACCAUCAUCCACGUACCACGAGGAAGAUGAGGGAGAGAAGUGAUCCUACCAUUAAAGAGACUGUGAAAAGAACGUUGAGAACAUCACCACUCUACAGGAAGACACAGUCCAGUAAUGGGUGUCAGAAGUUCAGUAGUGAACGACAGAAACAAACAAUCAAAAUUACCUGCAGAAAGCCCUUGAUGGACGCUUCAGCUGCAUCGUCAGACUGGCAGUACUGAUGCAUUUACUGAGAGGGGACGUGAGGGCCUACUCUGCGUGCUCAGAGUUCAAGCCCAGCAGGCUGCAGCGGGCCUGACAUAUUCUGGAACAGCAGCACAGUCUUUAGAUGACUCCUCUGAAGAUGAAAACAUGGCGAGGUACUUCUCCACUGAUGAAGAACUGUGAGGGCUGUGAUUAGCUACACUCUCUUGCUACAAUGCUACUCUUGCUACUCCCUGGCAGCCUUAGGAAGGCAUUAGCUUGCUG